GUGCUAGCAUUAGCAACUCAUUCACUGAAAAUUGGAAAGAUAAUUGAGAAGAUUAGCAUGGCCCCACGUGAGGAUGGCAUAUACAUUUGUGAAGCAUUCUGUAUCUUA